rnacentral:rRNA from 1 species
UCGAACGGUGAAGCCCAGCUUGCUGGGUGGAUCAGUGGCGAACGGGUGAGUAACACGUGAGCAAUCUGCCCCUGACUCUGGGAUAAGCGCUGGAAACGGCGUCUAAUACUGGAUACGAGUAGUGAUCGCAUGGUCGACUACUGGAAAGAAUUUCGGUCAGGGAUGAGCUCGCGGCCUAUCAGCUUGUUGGUGAGGUAAUGGCUCACCAAGGCGUCGACGGGUAGCCGGCCUGAGAGGGUGACCGGCCACACUGGGACUGAGACACGGCCCAGACUCCUACGGGAGGCAGCAGUGGGGAAUAUUGCACAAUGGGCGGAAGCCUGAUGCAGCAACGCCGCGUGAGGGAUGACGGCCUUCGGGUUGUAAACCUCUUUUAGCAGGGAAGAAGCGAAAGUGACGGUACCUGCAGAAAAAGCGCCGGCUAACUACGUGCCAGCAGCCGCGGUAAUACGUAGGGCGCAAGCGUUAUCCGGAAUUAUUGGGCGUAAAGAGCUCGUAGGCGGUUUGUCGCGUCUGCUGUGAAAUCCCGAGGCUCAACCUCGGGCCUGCAGUGGGUACGGGCAGACUAGAGUGCGGUAGGGGAGAUUGGAAUUCCUGGUGUAGCGGUGGAAUGCGCAGAUAUCAGGAGGAACACCGAUGGCGAAGGCAGAUCUCUGGGCCGUAACUGACGCUGAGGAGCGAAAGGGUGGGGAGCAAACAGGCUUAGAUACCCUGGUAGUCCACCCCGUAAACGUUGGGAACUAGUUGUGGGGUCCAUUCCACGGAUUCCGUGACGCAGCUAACGCAUUAAGUUCCCCGCCUGGGGAGUACGGCCGCAAGGCUAAAACUCAAAGGAAUUGACGGGGACCCGCACAAGCGGCGGAGCAUGCGGAUUAAUUCGAUGCAACGCGAAGAACCUUACCAAGGCUUGACAUAUUCGAGAACGGGCCAGAAAUGGUCAACUCUUUGGACACUCGUAUACAGGUGGUGCAUGGUUGUCGUCAGCUCGUGUCGUGAGAUGUUGGGUUAAGUCCCGCAACGAGCGCAACCCUCGUUCUAUGUUGCCAGCACGUAAUGGUGGGAACUCAUGGGAUACUGCCGGGGUCAACUCGGAGGAAGGUGGGGAUGACGUCAAAUCAUCAUGCCCCUUAUGUCUUGGGCUUCACGCAUGCUACAAUGGCCGGUACAAAGGGCUGCAAUACCGCGAGGUGGAGCGAAUCCCAAAAAGCCGGUCCCAGUUCGGAUUGAGGUCUGCAACUCGACCUCAUGAAGUCGGAGUCGCUAGUAAUCGCAGAUCAGCAACGCUGCGGUGAAUACGUUCCCGGGUCUUGUACACACCGCCCGUCAAGUCAUGAAAGUCGGUAACACCUGAAGCCGGUGGCCCAACCCU